UCUCCAUUUCGCAUACUCUCUCACCUCUCUGACCGGUGAGAGAGUGCGUGGAAUGAAGAGA
rnacentral:pre_miRNA from 1 species